rnacentral:rRNA from 1 species
UACAGAGGGUGCGAGCGUUGUUCGGAAUUACUGGGCGUAAAGCGCGCGUAGGUGGUCUUUUAAGUCCGACUGUGAAAUCCCGGGGCUCAACCCCGUGGGCUGCAGGGGAUACUGGGAGACUGGAGACACGUAGAGGCAAGCGGAAUUCCGGGUGUAGCGGUGGAAUGCGUAGAGAUCCGGAAGAACACCGGAGGCGAAGGCGGCUUGCUGGGCGUGAUCUGACGCUGAGACGCGAAAGCGUGGGGAGCAAACAGG